GCAGAAUUCAGUGAAUCAUCGAAUCUUUGAACGCACCUUGCGCCCCUUGGUAUUCCGAGGGGCAUGCCUGUUUGAGUGUCAUGGAA
rnacentral:rRNA from 1 species